UACGAAGGGGGCGAGCGUUGUUCGGAAUCACUGGGCGUAAAGGGCGCGUAGGCGGCCCUCUUAGUCGCGUGUGAAAGCCCCGGGCUCAACCUGGGAACGGCGCGCGAAACGGGAGGGCUGGAGUUCGGGAGAGGAGAGUGGAAUUCCCAGUGUAGAGGUGAAAUUCGUAGAUAUUCGGAAGAACACCAGUGGCGAAGGCAGCUCUCUGGGACGGUACUGACGCUGAGACGCGAAAGCGUGGGGAGCGAACAGG
rnacentral:rRNA from 1 species